UGUUAGUACGUUUAUUUGGAAAAUAUUUUUUAAACAUUAUGCAAUAUACAUAUAUAAGUGUUUAGCUUAAAAAGUAUCUAAAUCACAGCUUUUCAUCUAUUAAUUAAUUAAUUUAGAAAGUGUAUAAAAGCAAUAACUUUCUUAGCAGUUCUUUAAAAAAUCGUUUACCCUCCCCCUCCUUCGAUCAGGUAAGGAGGGGGAGGGGUGUAAAGCUGCGCACUUGCUGUACCCGGCGGAGUCCGGAGGUGACGCAACAAUUAGUGCAUCCGGCGAUUUUUAAAGGUCCUCGGUGCUUGCUCCUUCAGCACCGGACGGGCGGUUCUGCGCGUGUUGGAAGUUUUCACAUGAAACUUCAAAGAGUUUUAAGCUCGAACAAUUUGCGCCAUCUAAAAACGCUGCCCUAAAGAUGAUCCCUCCCCUUCCUUCAGUUUUAGGUUAAGGAGGGGGAGGGGUCUAUAACAGAGCAGCUGCGGAACGCGACGGAUUUGGCGCAACAAGUACCUACCAAAUGCCUACUUGUAAAAUUUUAGAAGGUCCUCGGUGCCUGUGUCUCCAGUACCGAACGGACAAUCCUGUGCGCGUUCGAAGUUUUUACUUGAAGCAGUUAUUUAAUUCAGAAGCGACUUUGUAACUAGUAUAAUACGCGCAAUCUAAAUGCCGGACCUGAAGUUUGACUCUCUAUGAUAUCUUUCCAUCACUUAAUUUCAGACCUGCCAACUUAGACCGCGCGUAUUGUAAUUAAGAUAAUUUUAAUGUUGCUUUGUUAUAUACAUAUAUUGCCAUUUAUUUAACAAAGCAACCGGCUAGUGCUAGUGGAAGUUACUAUGUAUAAUGUACCUAUAUAUUAUAGAUCAGGGCGAUUGGGCAGUUUACACUUUAAAGACCUUGUACCUAAUUUAACGGUUAUGCGUUAUCGAUAAAUGUUUGAAAUCAAAACUCUACGAAGCGAUUAAACAUUAAUUAUUAUUCUAGUUAAGGUUAGCUCAAUGUUGGUUUGUUACAUAUAUGCAAAUAUUUAACAAAACAACCGGCUAUAAUUACUGUAUGUUACUAAUUCCGUAGUAUUUUAAUCAGUAGCUUAUGGUCCUUGUGUAAUCGGGACAAAAAAAAAAUAAAAAAAUUGAAGAAAAUGUAA